rnacentral:lncRNA from 1 species
AUGCUUUAAAUUAUCGUGAUUUAAUGGCACCUGCCUUAUUCCAGGGCGCCGGCUCUGCUCUGCUGCUGGAAGCAGGCAGAGAGGCGGGUGCGGAUGCGGGCUGACCCCGGCUUCCCAGAAAUCCCCGGCUGCUCUGCUGUGCCUCUCUAUCUCCUGACUCCUAAACGAGCUCCUGCGGCACCGGUCACCCACUGCUCCAGAGGGAUUUCUUUGGAAAUGAGAUCUUCUCAAAUUCUGUGUGUGCUGUGCUUGGGAGGAAAGGGUUUUUCAGAUGCUGCCUCCAAUGGUAAUGGUGGGAAAGGACUCAAUAUUUCCCUUCUACCUCCUUGCAAUGGUGCUGAUAUA